AGUCGCUCCGCAACGGUGUGAUCUCCAACGUUGCGUUCUCCAGGAAGACGAGCCCGUGCUACCUCCAACAAAAACCUUCGUCCCUUUCUUACAUCCUUCUUUACAUAUAUGUGUUGUAUCACACAGGUCACUUCAAAUUGCAGUGUUGUAAAUUAUCUUAUUUACGGAGAGGAAUCCAGUAAGAGUACGAUAUAUUCUACCGCAUCACAGGGAAUAUAUUCCUAAAAGCAUAGAUAAGAUAACGACGACAAUCAAAUGUCAGCAAUAUGCCGGCAGAUUGGCGACAAAAUGGCAGGUUCACUUAAUCAAGGGCAGGUUGUUCCAACUCCUUAGUACAAGGAAACUAUUUGGAAGAACUUCCAGUCGGAAUCGUCCGAUUAUUUCGAAUUACUUCUACCGCGUUUUAUAGGAAAAACGGGAUAAUUCCGAUCGGCAAACGAACUCCACAAGGAACGUUGCUCCAGGCUGAAGAAACCAAACUUAGCGAGUGAUACUAUUACUGACCAGUCCGCGUU